GCACAGAUGCAGAACUAACUGAUACAGGGGAUCAACUGGCCUUCAUAGAUGGCAUCUUGAAGAAAUGUCUUCGGGGACAGGAAGGUAGCUCCACAGAUCCCUCACCUGCAAAUCCCACGGGUCGUUAAUGCCGCACACAGACACUUCACACUCGGUGAUAAUAAUUCAUCAACAUUUAGAGGGGCUCUCCAAAAACCCAGUGAAAUGAAUGGCAAACAAUAAACUAGAACCCCCAAGACGUAUGUGAACACUACAGGGAUUUAGAACGUCUCAAUCCCACCUGAAGUGUCUUCCUUCUUUGAACAUGAGCCCACGUGACUUACAAAUACCGUGUCCCAUUGUUUAAGUAUGGGAACCACUGUGAACUCCCAUCCCAACUUCCCUUAGUCUCCCAGGUUCACUCCCAGGUCCUCCCCUACCGCCAUAAGCUAGCUGCCAAGGAGGCUAGAGGACAGAUGUCAUCAGUUUGCUUCCCUAGGAAGGACUUUCCUUGGCUCUGUCAUCAUGAAGUUGAAACCGCUGCACUGGUACCCAACGUCCACUGUGACUCCGCCCCUCCUCUCUCUUCCUCUAGCCACACCCUUCCUUGCCUCUCCUGUUCCAAUCAGAAUAAAUAAAUGGCUUGCACACUGAUGUCUCCAGCCCUCCGAAAUCUGCAUGUGCCAGGCCCUUCAUCCACAAGUCCUCGUGG